CAGGACUGGACUGCAGCAGCCGCAUCGUGUUGUACGAGGCGACG
rnacentral:SRP_RNA from 1 species